rnacentral:rRNA from 1 species
UACGUAGGGUGCAAGCGUUGUCCGGAAUUAUUGGGCGUAAAGAGCUCGUAGGCGGUCUGUUGCGUCGGCUGUGAAAAACUCGGGGCUCAACCCCCGAGCCUGCAGUCGAUACGGGCAGACUAGAGUGCUGUAGGGGAGACUGGAAUUCCUGGUGUAGCGGUGAAAAUGCGCAGAUAUCAGGAGGAACACCGGUGGCGAAGGCGGGUCUCUGGGCAGUAACUGACGCUGAGGAGCGAAAGCGUGGGGAGCGAACAGG